rnacentral:rRNA from 1 species
UAAGGAGGAUGCGAGCGUUAUCCGGAUUUAUUGGGUUUAAAGGGUGCGCAGGCGGCCUGUUAAGUCAGCGGUAAAAGCCCGGGGCUCAACCCCGGCGAGCCGUUGAAACUGGGGGGCUUGAGUAUGUUUGAGGCAGGCGGAAUGCGUGGUGUAGCGGUGAAAUGCAUAGAUAUCACGCAGAACCCCGAUUGCGAAGGCAGCAUACCGGUGCACAACUGACGCUCAGGCACGAAAGCGUGGGUAUCGAACAGG